UACGGAGGGUGCAAGCGUUAUCCGGAUUUAUUGGGUUUAAAGGGUGUGUAGGUGGACCUUUAAGUCAGUGGUGAAAUCCUGCAGCUUAACUGUAGAACUGCCAUUGAAACUGAAGGUCUUGAGUAUAGACGAGGUAGGCGGAAUGAGUUAUGUAGCGGUGAAAUGCAUAGAUAUAACUCAGAACACCGAUUGCGAAGGCAGCUUACUAGACUAUUACUGACACUGAUGCACGAAAGCGUGGGUAGCGAAC
rnacentral:rRNA from 1 species